GGACGGGGCCCGCACAAGCGGUGGAGCAUGUGGUUAAUUCGAAGCAACGCGAAGAACCUUACCAGGUCUUGACAUCCCCUGACAACCCGAGAGAUCGGGCGUUCCCCUUCGGGGGACAGGGUGACAGGUGGUGCAUGGUUGUCGUCAGCUCGUGUCGUGAGAUGUUGGGUUAAGUCCCGCAACGAGCGCAACCCUCGACCUUAGUUGCCAGCAUUCAGUUGGGCACUCUAAGGUGACUGCCGGCUAAAAGUCGGAGGAAGGUGGGGAUGACGUCAAAUCAUCAUGCCCCUUAUGACCUGGGCUACACACGUGCUACAAUGGGCGGUACAAAGGGUCGCGAACCCGCGAGGGGGAGCCAAUCCCAAAAAGCCGCUCUCAGUUCGGAUUGCAGGCUGCAACUCGCCUGCAUGAAGCCGGAAUCGCUAGUAAUCGCGGAUCAGCAUGCCGCGGUGAAUACGUUCCCGGGCCUU
rnacentral:rRNA from 1 species